CACCACGCMCCUGCCGAUCAUCAGAUCAUCACCAGGAGCUUAAGAGGAGCCACCUGACAACACUUCCUCGCCAGAGUGUUGAUAUCCGCGGUUAAACCGAGUCCGAGAGCCGGAUCGAAUCCGAACCCUACCCAUCCGCCAGCCGGACCCGGAUUUCUCUGACGAGCACCCUCGGGCUGGCCCCUCUCUCCCUCAGCUCCCCGGACUGGCAUCGCUCUGGUUCCUGCUCCCCAGCCCUGACGUUUCUGUUCCGCCUCCCGUCCACAGUUCUCCGGAUCUGUUCGUUAAUAAACCUUUGAUCUC